rnacentral:rRNA from 1 species
CUCGCCUGCAUGAAGUCGGAAUUGCUAGUAAUCGCGGAUCAGCAUGCCGCGGUGAAUACGUUCUUGGGCCUUGUACACACCGCCCGUCACACCAUGGGAGUCGGUAACACCCGAAGUCUGUAGCCUGACGCAAGAGGGCGCAGCCGAAGGUGGGAUUGAUGACUGGGGUGAAGUCGUAACAAGGUAGC